GACUAUGCAAUAUCUCUCCCUAUAAAAAGCCUAACCCCAUCUCUCAAUUCUCCUCUUACAAUCAAAAUUUUCAUUUUACCGUGAUUCCAAUUCUAUCUGGCCUCUCUGUCUCCAUACAAAAACAAAAUCAUGGAGGAAAACGAAAAGAAAAAGCUUUCAAAGAAGAAACCAACCCACAAUCUUCCACAAGGUCAUCUAGGACUGAUGCAUGGCAAAUCUUAUAUGAAAAUGGCUUCUUCCUCAUCAUAAUCUGGUGCUAUCCUACCUGAGCUUUCCUUCUUUUCUUUUCUUUUUUCUUUUUACUUAUUUAAUUAUAUAAAUAAAUAAAUAAUAUCUUCUUGACCUUGUAAGACCUUUUGUUGGGCAUGUAAAAGGCAGUCCAGUAUUUGGUGUUAUAGUAGUGGUUGGGUAUUGUUCUACACCAUUGCCACCCAUCUCUUCUUCUCCUUCCUUGUCUAUCCCUCCUGAGCUGAACUCUUUAACCUUUGUAAUAACACUACUGCUGUUCUUUUUCAUUUAUUAAGAGUAAAAGCUUUCACUUUCUUA